GCCGCAGCAGUCGCGAAAACUCCGCAAUACGCGAAAGCGUGACGGGGCUACCCCGAGUGUCGUCCGCUCAGGACGACUUUUCCACGCUGUAAGGAGGCGUGGGAAUAAGGAGAGGGCAAGUCUGGUGUCAGCCGCCGCGGUAAUACCAGCUCUCCGAGUGGUAGGGACGAUUAUUGGGCUUAAAGCGUCCGUAGCCGGCUCAGCAAGUCUCCCGUUAAAUCCAACGAUUCAAUCGUUGGACUGCGGGAGAUACUGUUGAGCUAGGAGGCGGGAGAGGCCGACGGUAUUCCCGGAGUAGGGGUGAAAUCUUAUAAUUCCGGGAGGACCACCAGUGGCGAAGGCUGUCGGCUAGAACGCGCUCGACGGUGAGGGAUGAAGCCCAGUGGCGCAAACGGGAUUAGAUACCCCGGUAGUCC
rnacentral:rRNA from 1 species